rnacentral:rRNA from 1 species
UACGUCAACAUCCUUAACGAAUUUAACCCGUUCUAACCUAUUAACCAUCGACUUUGAUAACCGUAAGCACGCUUUCGGCACCAGAGCAACGAUCAGAGAUCAGACAGGUAGCCCCGAAGGGUAUCCGUUGCAAUCCUCAAUCCCGAUCAUCACAUCUGCCGAAGGCUAUAACACUUCAAUCGAAAUCGAAGCUACAUUCCUCCAGCCAUUUUAUGAUAACCAAAAUUGAUGUUAACUAACCACACUGGCAAGUACACCCAAAGUACACGAAUAUGCAGGCAUGAAGGCGUUUAACUCCUCACGCUCCACAGAAUCAUGCCCAAAAGGCUGAUUACCCGCAGGUACGACUGGCUUCAAUCGUUUCCCUUUCAACAAUUUCACGUACUGUUUAACUCUCUUUUCAAAGUUCUUUUCAUCUUUCCCUCACGGUACUUGUUCGCUAUCGGUCUCUCGCCAUUAUUUAGCCUUAGGAGAAAUUUACCUCCCAUUUUAAGCUGCAAUCCCAAACAACUUGACUCUUUGAAAGCGUAUCGUAAAGCGAAUCUGAUCAACCGAACGGGAUUCUCACCCUCCGUGAUGCCUUAUCCCAAAGGACUUGGACUGAUCAGAAACACAGAAAACGCCUCUUCGAAUUACAACUCGGUCAGGUAGAACCCGACAGAUUUAAAAUUUGAGCUUGUCCCUCUUCACUCGCAGUUACUAGGGGAAUCAUUGUUAUUUUCUUUUCCUCCGCUUAUUGAUAUCG